rnacentral:rRNA from 1 species
UGGGGAAUAUUGGACAAUGGGGGCAACCCUGAUCCAGCAAUGCCGCGUGUGUGAAGAAGGCCUGAGGGUUGUAAAGCACUUUCAGUGGGGAGGAGGGAUAUUUGGUUAAGAGCUGAGUAUUUGGACGUUACCUACAGAAGAAGCACCGGCUAACUCCGUGCCAGCAGCCGCGGUAAUACGGAGGGUGCGAGCGUUAAUCGGAAUUACUGGGCGUAAAGGGUGCGUAGACGGUAUGUUAAGCUUAUUGUUAAAUUCCCUGGCUUAACCAGGGGCCUGCGGUGAGAACUGGCAUGCUAGAGGAUGAGAGAGAAGAGUGGAAUUUCCGGAGUAGCGGUAAAAUGCGUAGAUCUCGGAAGGAACACCGAUGGCGAAAGCAGCUCUUUGGCUCAUUCCUGACGUUGAGGCACGAAAGCGUGGGGAGCAAACAGG